rnacentral:rRNA from 1 species
UACGUAGGGGGGCAAGCGUUGUCCGGAUUUAUUGGGCGUAAAGAGCGUGUAGGCGGCCUGACAAGUCUGCUGUGAAAACUCGAGGCUCAACCUCGAGAUGUCGGCGGAAACUGUCUGGCUAGAGUCCGGAAGAGGAGAGUGGGAAUUCCUGGUGUAGCGGUGAAAUGCGCAGAUAUCAGGAAGAACACCCGUGGCGAAGGCGGCUCUCUGGGACGGUACUGACGCUGAGACGCGAAAGCGUGGGGGAGCGAACAGG